AAGAAAAUGAUAGCUACUUGUGUUAGGAUUUCCAUAGUUGUGGCCUAAAUAAUCAUAUUUAAUUUUGAAUUUACUAUUGAUAAAGGUCAAUUCUAAAAGAUAUAGAACUACUUGAUAUGGUAUUUCUUAUAACUUUCCCAUCUAUUUAAAUUAAAUAGAAUUAUAAUCAAACUUUGAUGGAAAGUCAAUUUGAACUCUAUAUAUGAAGGGAUAUUGGUCUUGCCACUUUUUCAUGUGCAAUUUGGUGAAACAUUAUCAUCGAUUCUACACUAUAUAGGAGGGUGCCUGAGAAAGAAGGAGAAACCAAAUUACCCAAGUUUGGUUGUUGACGUUCAGAUUAUAACCAAAUUUCUCGUUUCCGCAGAUUGAUCAAGAAUUUCUUCUUUAUGGCACUCUGUGAGUUAUUAUGAUUUUGUUUAUGAUCGUGAAUUUUGAUAUGUAUUUACUUUUAGGGCAUAUUUGGUUGCUCGAAAGUCGGCGAAGUGGAAAAAGUCACUUUUAUAAAAGUUACUUUUACAAAAGUGACUUUUCAGUUCGAUUGUUUGGUUGCUGUAAAGUAAAAAAAUUAAAACUAUAAUUUUAUAAUUUUUUAUUAUUAAAUUAUAUACUAAGAGGUGAAAAUAUAAAUAAACGACUUAUAC
rnacentral:lncRNA from 1 species